GAAGAAAAAGAAAUCCUAAGAAAAAGAAAGAACCCUAUGUAAAACCUCUACUCAUGAUCUAGCUUCAUCGCAAACCCUAGAAGGGAUGCUUAGCUAGACAUGAUCUAAAUCUACUUGCAAAAUUUAAAUGCAGAAAAAUAAACUACCCUAAUUUCAUAACUUAAACUAUCCUAAUUGCAUAAAUUUAAACUGCAUAAUUUAAACUAACCUAAUUGCAUAAAAUUAAAUUACAUAAAUUAAACUAUCCUAAUUGCAAGAAAAAUAAAUUGCAUAAGGUAAAGAGAUAAAAUUUCAUAAAAAUAAGAUUUUAUAUAAAAAAAAUUUAUUACAAAAACUUCAAAGCUCGAGGCUUGAGAAGAAAGCUAAAAAACCCACUAUCUAGGGUUACAAGCUUGAUUGGAAGGAAAGAAUCAUUAAAACAAGGGCCUUUGGGGGCUUUUUAUAGGCAUUUGGGGGUUAUAAGGUUUUCAAAACUUUAGAUGUGGGACUAAGAGGUUUUAGAGGGCUGUUAGGGGGGUUUAGGGGGAUUUAGGGGCUCAAAUCUCGCUCAAAAAGUACUUAAAUCCAUCAAGAAAUCUUAGAAAUUGUUUCAGCCGUCCGAUCUUCAUCUAAAGGACCCAAUUCAUCUAAUAAAUCAAGCCAGGAGCGAUUCUGGGCCGUCGGAUCACGAUCUGGGUGAAGCGCUGCCGUUGGAUCGCGCUGCAGAGAUGGGAUCAG
rnacentral:lncRNA from 1 species